GCUUACGGCCAUACCACCUGAACACGCCGAUCUCGUCCGAUCUCGGAAGCUAAGCAGGGUCGGGCCUGGUUAGUAUUGGAUGGGAGACCGCCUGGGAAUACCAGGUGCUGUAAGCU
rnacentral:rRNA from 1 species